CAGUCGCCACGGUAAUACAGAGGGUGCGAGCGUUAAUCGGAUUUACUGGGCGUAAAGUGUGCGUAGGCGGCUUCUUAAGUCGGAUGUGAAAUCCCUGAGCUUAACUUAGGAAUUGCAUUCGAUACUGGGAAGCUAGAGUAUGGGAGAGGAUGGUAGAAUUCCAGGUGUAGCGGUGAAAUGCGUAGAGAUCUGGAGGAAUACCGAUGGCGAAGGCAGCCAUCUGGCCUAAUACUGACGCUGAGGUACGAAAGCAUGGGGAGCAAACAGGAUUAGAGACCCCUGUAGUCCCUGUCUCUUAUAA
rnacentral:rRNA from 1 species